rnacentral:rRNA from 1 species
AUUGAACGCUGGCGGCAUGCCUUACACAUGCAAGUCGAACGGCAGCACGGGUGCUUGCACCUGGUGGCGAGUGGCGAACGGGUGAGUAAUACAUCGGAACGUACCUUAUCGUGGGGGAUAACGCAGCGAAAGCUGUGCUAAUACCGCAAACGCCCUGAGGGGGAAAGCGGGGGAUCGAAAGACCUCGCGCGAUUAGAGCGGCCGAUGCCUGAUUAGCUUGUUGGUGGGGUAAAAGCCCACCAAGGCGACGAUCAGUAGCUGGUCUGAGAGGACGAUCAGCCACACUGAGACUGAGACACGGCCCAGACUCCUACGGGAGGCAGCAGUGGGGAAUUUUGGACAAUGGGGGCAACCCUGAUCCAGCAAUGCCGCGUGAGUGAAGAAGGCCUUCGGGUUGUAAAGCUCUUUUGUCAGGGAAGAAACACCGGCUCUAACACAGUCCGGGAAUGACGGUACCUGAAGAAUAAGCACCGGCUAACUACGUGCCAGCCGCCGCGGUAA